rnacentral:rRNA from 1 species
UACGUGGGGGGCGAGCGUUGUCCGGAUUGAUUGGGCGUAAAGCGUGCGUAGGUGGAGCGUCACGUCUGUGGUGAAAGCCCUCAGCUUAACUGAGGAAGGGUCACAGAUACGGAUGUUCUUGAGGACUGGAGAGGACCGUGGAAUUGCCGGAGGAUCAGUGAAAUGAGUAGAGACCGGCAAGAACGCCAGAGGAGAAGUCGGCGGUCUGGCCAGGCCCUGACACUGAGGCACGAAAGCUUGGGGAG